GGUUUUCUUUUUCUAGGAAUACGAAAAAAAUCAGAGCUACAAGGAGCAGAAAGCUUUUAGUUACACAGAAAUACUAUCACAUUGUACAAAGUAUACAAGAAAGUUCACUGCUGUAUUGCUUGCAAUAGUGAAAAACUGGAAACAACCUAUGAGUACAUCAAGAGGAGACUACGUAAAUGAGACUAUACAAUGUCCCGAGAGGACUUAUGAUGAGAAAAAUGUCAAUCACAGCUUUAAGCCCUUGGUUUGGAAACAGCUAAUGAGAAAGCGGAUUGGAAGGGGAUGUAUGUACAAUUUCAUUCACAGAAAAUUGGUAAAGGAUGAUACUUUUCCUUGCAUUAUCCACCCCAACAAUAACUUUGUGCUCCUGGUGCUUGAAGAGUCUCCAUAUCCUGGUGAAGAGAAUUCCCAUUCUUGGGUAGCUGAC
rnacentral:lncRNA from 1 species